rnacentral:rRNA from 1 species
AUACGGAGGAUGCGAGCGUUAUCCGGAUUUAUUGGGUUUAAAGGGUGCGUAGGCGGUCGGGUAAGCGUAGGGUGAAAGUCCUCUGCUCAACAGAGGAAGUGCCUUCCGAACUGUCCGACUGGAAUGCUCCUGCCGUGGGAGGAAUGUGUGGUGUAGCGGUGAAAUGCAUAGAGAUCACACAGAACACCGAUUGCGAAGGCAUCUCACGAAGGGGCUAUUGACGCUGAGGCACGAAAGCGUGGGGAUCAAACAGGAUUAGAUACCCUGGUAGUCCACGCAGUAAACGAUGAUGACUAACCGUCGGUCAAGACUGAUCGGUGGCCAAGCGAAAGCGAUAAGUCAUCCACCUGGGGAGUACGACCGCAAGGUUGAAACUUAAAGGAAUUGACGGGG